CAAGGAAUUUUGCGCAAUGGGCGAAAGCCUGACGCAGCAACGCCGCGUGGGGGAUGAAGGCCCUCGGGUUGUAAACCCCUUUUGCGAGGGAAGAAGAUCUGACGGUACCUCGCGAAUAAGCCACGGCUAACUACGUGCCAGCAGCCGCGGUAAUACGUAGGUGGCAAGCGUUGUCCGGAUUUACUGGGCGUAAAGCGCGCGCAGGCGGAUUGGUCAGUCUGGGGGGUGAAAUCUCACGGCUCAACUGUGAGCGGUCCCUGGAUACUGCCAGUCUUGAGAGAUCUAGAGGAGAGCGGAAUUCCCGGUGUAGUGGUGGAAUGCGUAGAUAUCGGGAAGAACACCAGUGGCGAAAGCGGCUCUCUGGGGAUUUUCUGACGCUGAGGCGCGAAAGCGUGGGGAGCGAACCGGAUUAGAUACCCGGGUAGUCCACGCCGUAAACGAUGAGUACUAGCUGUCGGGGGUAUCGACCCCCCGGUAGCGUAGCUAACGCGAUAAGUGCUCCGCCUGGGGACUACGGCCGC
rnacentral:rRNA from 1 species